UACGGAGGGGGCAAGCGUUGUCCGGAUUCAUUGGGCGUAAAGAGCGUGUAGGCGGCCAGGUAGGUCGGUUGUGAAAACUGGAGGCUCAACCUUCAGAGGUCGACCGAAACCAUCUGGCUAGAGUCCGGGAGAGGAGAGUGGAAUUCCUGGUGUAGCGGUGAAAUGCGUAGAUAUCAGGAGGAAUACCGGUGGUGUAGACGGCUCUCUGGACCGCGACUGACGCUGAGGAGCGAAAGCGUGGGGAGCGAACAGG
rnacentral:rRNA from 1 species